rnacentral:misc_RNA from 1 species
AAAGUCGUAACAAGGUCUCCGUAGGUGAACCUGCGGAGGGAUCAUUAUCGAACGGCCCACUGGGCCUUCCAACCCACACACCCCGUGGAAGCUAAAAUGUGCUUUGGCGUUAUGCCAUAUCAAUGCGGCUUUAAAUAUGUUGUCUGAAUUGAAUUUAAUUGAAAAACUUUCAACAAAGGAUCUCUUGGCUCUC